rnacentral:rRNA from 1 species
AAUUGAGAGUUUGAUCCUGGCUCAGGACGAACGCUGGCGGCGUGCUUAACACAUGCAAGUCGAACGGAAAGGCCCUGCUUUUGUGGGGUGCUCGAGUGGCGAACGGGUGAGUAACACGUGAGUAACCUGCCCUUGACUUUGGGAUAACUUCAGGAAACUGGGGCUAAUACCGGAUAGGAGCUCCUGCUGCAUGGUGGGGGUUGGAAAGUUUCGGCGGUUGGGGAUGGACUCGCGGCUUAUCAGCUUGUUGGUGGGGUAGUGGCUUACCAAGGCUUUGACGGGUAGCCGGCCUGAGAGGGUGACCGGC